UACGGGGGGGGUAAGCGUUGUUCGGAAUUACUGGGCGUAAAGGGCUCGUAGGCGGCCAACUAAGUCAUACGUGAAAUCCCUCAGCUUAACUGGGGAACCGCGUGUGAUACUGGAUGGCUUGGAUUUGGGAGAGGGAUGCGGAAUUCCAGGUGUAGCGGUGAAAUGCGUAGAUAUCUGGAGGAACACCGGUGGCGAAGGCGGCAUCCUGGACCAAUAUUGACGCUGAGGAGCGAAAGCCAGGGGAGCAAACGGG
rnacentral:rRNA from 1 species